GACAGAGGAUGCAAGCGUUAUCCGGAAUGAUUGGGCGUAAAGCGUCUGUAGGUGGCUUUUAAGUCCGCCGUCAAAUCCCAGGGCUCAACCCUGGACAGGCGGUGGAAACUACCAAGCUGGAGUACGGUGAGGGGCAGGAGGGAAUUUCCGGUGGAGCGGUGAAAUGCGGUGAGAGAUCGGAAAGAACACCAACGGCAGAAGACUCUGCUGGGC
rnacentral:rRNA from 1 species